rnacentral:ribozyme from 1 species
CUGCCUCAUUCUUCAGCAAUGAAGAAUAGGUCCUAAAAUAUAUGGCUAUAUGCUGGAAAGCUCUGUCAAUGAGCCAAUCAGCAGGAAAGAUUCUAUCGUAUGAUAGAAAAUCCUCAGAGACCAAACGCCAUACCCCAGCAAUUUCAAAAAAGAAAUCUGGGUGAAGAUAGAGUCCAAACCUUAAAGGAGGUCCGAGCGAAAUUCCUUGUCGGGUAGAAAAUCGGAAACUGCCCGAAUAUUCUAGUAAUAGAAUAUCAGCAAACUGACUCAUAACGGUGAAGCCUGAAAUGGUAAUACCGUGGGAAGUUCGAUAUCAUAUCGAACCCCGUAACGACUGAUCCGAAAGGAGAGAUAGAUGACUGGUUUCAGCAGCGAGAAUAUCUAUCACACGUCAGCUCCCCGACCGCAAGGUCAGGGAUGAAGGUAUAGUCUAAUCAUUAUGGAAACAUAAUG